rnacentral:rRNA from 1 species
AUUGAACGCUGGCGGCAUGCCUUACACAUGCAAGUCGAACGGCAGCGGGGGAGAAGCUUGCUUUUCCUGCCGGCGAGUGGCGAACGGGUGAGUAAUACAUCGGAACGUGCCCUGUAGUGGGGGGUAACUAGUCGAAAGAUUAGCUAAUACCGCAUACGACCUGAGGGUGAAAGUGGGGGACCGCAAGGCCUCAUGCUAUAGGAGCGGCCGAUGUCUGAUUAGCUAGUUGGUGGGGUAAAGGCCUACCAAGGCGACGAUCAGUAGCUGGUCUGAGAGGCCGAGCAGCCACACUGGGACUGAGACACGGCCCAGACUCCUACGGGAGGCAGCAGUGGGGAAUUUUGGACAAUGGGCGAAAGCCUGAUCCAGCAAUGCCGCGUGUGUGAAGAAGGCCUUCGGGUUGUAAAGCACUUUUGUCCGGAAAGAAAUGGCUCUGGUUAAUACCUGGGGUCGAUGACGGUACCGGAAGAAUAAGGACCGGCUAACUACGUGCCAGCCGCCGCGGUAA